GGCGAAAUGAAAAAAGAAAAAAAAAACGCGAUUGGAAAUGGAUGGUUAAUAAAAUUCAGAAUAUUGCAAAACAAGGACAGUGUACAGCGUGUUUAAAUCUUCCAGAAAUGCAGCUGUGCCCUCUUAACAGCAAUUAUAGAUGAAGCAAAGUAUGGUAGCAAGUAAUAUAGAUAUACACACGAGUAUACACACAUGCCGAAGAAGAUUGUAAUAUCUGGAGAAAACAUUUCCUACGUCACGAAAA